rnacentral:piRNA from 1 species
UCAUCUAAGGUUCCAAUGCAA